rnacentral:rRNA from 1 species
AGCGAACGCUGGCGGCAGGCUUAACACAUGCAAGUCGAGCGGGCAUCCUUGUGGUGUCCGCGGCAGACGGGUGAGUAACGCGUGGGAACGUGCCCUUCGGUUCGGGCUAACUCAGGGAAACUUGAGCUAAUACCGGAUACGCCCUUCUGGGGAAAGGUUUACUGCCGAAGGAUCGGCCCGCGUCUGAUUAGCUCGUUGGUGAGGUUAUGGCUCACCAAGGCGACGAUCAGUAGCUGGUCUGAGAGGAUGAUCAGCCACACUGGGACUGAGACACGGCCCAGACUCCUACGGGAGGCAGCAGUGGGGAAUAUUGGACAAUGGGGGCAAUCCUGAUCCAGCCAUGCCGCGUGAGUGAUGACGGCCUUAGGGUUGUAAAGCUCUUUUCUCCGGGACGAUAAUGACGGUACCGGAGGAAUAAGCCCCGGCUAACUUCGUG